rnacentral:rRNA from 1 species
ACGAACGCUGGCGGCAUGCCUAACACAUGCAAGUCGAACGAGACCUUCGGGUCUAGUGGCGCACGGGUGCGUAACGCGUGGGAACCUGCCCUUAGGUUCGGAAUAACUCCCCGAAAGGGGUGCUAAUACCGGAUAAUGUCUUCGGACCAAAGAUUUAUCGCCUUUGGAUGGGCCCGCGUUGGAUUAGCUAGUUGGUAGGGUAAAAGCCUACCAAGGCGACGAUCCAUAGCUGGUCUGAGAGGAUGAUCAGCCACACUGGGACUGAGACACGGCCCAGACUCCUACGGGAGGCAGCAGUGGGGAAUAUUGGACAAUGGGCGAAAGCCUGAUCCAGCAAUGCCGCGUGAGUGAUGAAGGCCUUAGGGUUGUAAAGCUCUUUUACCAGGGAUGAUAAUGACAGUACCGGGAGAAUAAGCUCCGGCUAACUCCGUG